CAGGGACCGAGGAGGGGACCGCAGCCUGUGGCGUGGAGGAGGCAGCAGAGCCCCGGAGCCCAGCAGGGCAGAGACAGUGCGGCUGGUGAGGGACCUGGGACAGCAGCUGCAGGUGCCCGACCAGGACCAUCCCGCCAUCCGUGUGGCCCGAACACAGAGUCCAGAGGCUGGAGGGAGGGGAUUGCAGCCCGGCCAGCAUCUCCAGAGGCCCCAGUGAGGGGGUUUUGUCCCCAAUGGAGCCACAACCCUGCACCGGCCCUGGCUGCGUGGGGGCUGGGUCACGCUGACCAGACCUCUCCUCCUCCAGGAAGCCUCCUGCCUUGCCCCUUGCAUGGCCCGGCCUCGUCUGUGCUGUGUCUGUCUGUCCCUGGACACUGAGCUCCUCGUGGGGUGGGGACCCGGCUGGCUGCCUCCCCCAGGCCCCAGCGCCAGCGUCCGCAGAGGCCCAACACAUCGCUGUGCGUUAAUCGGGCAACUGGAGUUUGGAAACGGAGGCCCCGAGAGCCGGCUGGUUCGCCCAGGAAGUGGCAGAGCUGGGAUUUGACCCCUGGUGUGGUCACGGACGCCAGGAGCUGACCACUGGACAGUCCUGCCUCCUGUGUCUCAGACAGUCCGGGACUCCCAAUCUGCUCCCUACAUGGAGGCCCGGUUUCCA
rnacentral:lncRNA from 1 species